AUUGAGCGCUGGCGGCAUGCCUUACACAUGCAAGUCGAACGGCAGCACGGGAGCAAUCCUGGUGGCGAGUGGCGAACGGGUGAGUAAUGUAUCGGAACGUGCCCAGUCGUGGGGGAUAACGUAGCGAAAGCUGUGCUAAUACCGCAUAAUCCCUAAGGGGGAAAGCGGGGGACCGUAAGGCCUCGCGCAAUUAGAGCGGCCGAUACCUGAUUAGCUAGUUGGUGAGGUAAAGGCUCACCAAGGCAACGAUCAGUAGCUGGUCUGAGAGGACGAUCAGCCACACUGGGACUGAGACACGGCCCAGACUCCUACGGGAGGCAGCAGUGGGGAAUUUUGGACAAUGGGGGCAACCCUGAUCCAGCAAUGCCGCGUGAGUGAAGAAGGCCUUCGGGUUGUAAAGCUCUUUUGUCAGGGAAGAAACAGCAGCUCUAACACAGUUUGCGAAUGACGGUACCUGAAGAAUAAGCACCGGCUAACUACGUGCCAGCAGCCGCCGCAG
rnacentral:rRNA from 1 species